GACAGAGGGUGCAAACGUUGUUCGGAAUUAUUGGGCGUAAAGCGCGCGUAGGCGGUUAUCUAAGUCGGAUGUGAAAGCCCUCGGCUUAACUGAGGAAGUGCACCCGAAACUGGAUAGCUAGAGUACGAAAGAGGGUCGCGGAAUUCCCGGUGUAGAGGUGAAAUUCGUAGAUAUCGGGAGGAACACCGGUGGCGAAGGCGGCGACCUGGGUCGAGACUGACGCUGAGGCGCGAAAGCGUGGGGAGCAAACAGG
rnacentral:rRNA from 1 species